AGAAUCAACGCUGGCGGCGUGCCUAACACAUGCAAGUCGAACGAGAAAGUGGGAGCAAUCCCAUGAGUAAAGUGGCGCACGGGUGAGUAACACGUGACUAACCUACCCUUGAGUGGGGGAUAACCUAGGGAACCUGGGCUAAUACCGCAUAAUACCUACGGGUCAAAGGAGCAAUUCGCUUUAGGAGGGGUCGCGGCAGAUUAGUUAGUUGGCGGGGUAAUGGCCCACCAAGACAGUGAUCUGUA
rnacentral:rRNA from 1 species